UGUCUGGUUUGAGGAGUUGACAAUGACACCAGUUUUUUCUUUAGUUAUGUCUCCUGAAGAAACCUCCAGAGUCACCUGAUCCAGCUGCAUACUGUGCACUCCAUGAGAGGGAGAGGAGACUUUGCCACCAAGCUCUAAAGAAAAACAUCAAAACACAGCAGUUAUUCCAUGAGAUAUGAAGAGAUCUCUGGACAUUUCAUCACAAUCCACUGAUCUCAGGAACUCCAGGAUGGAACGAUCAAUCUUCAAUGCACAGUUGUGGAGAAACAGCACUUUUUAGGCCAUCCUGUUCAAGCAGAGAGUACAAGGCAGGAGAAAUCUCCAUAUACUCUUUCACACUGUUCUUCUCUCUUUCCACAAGACCUGGCCGCUUCAAAUGUGUC